AUGAAAGAUUAUCCUAGAUAAAGAAAACUUUGAAAAGAUUGGAUUUGUUUCUAUAUUCUGAGUUUAAGGAAUACUUAAUUUAUAGAAAUGCUUAUUUAUUUCUAAGGAUUUUUUAAUAGAACUCCUUUAAGAGAUUUUAUAAAUUAAUUUAGUAAUAUAAUUCAGAAGUAGAAAAUGCCAUAUAUACAAAACAUACAUACAUACAUAAACUUACAGACAGAGGCAAAAGGAGAUCUUUUUUUUAAAAAAUUUUAUUUUUCCUUUUUCUGCCCAAAGCUCCCCAGUACAUAGUUGUGUAUUUUUAGCUGUGAGUCCUUCUAGUUGUGGCAUGUGGGAUCCUGCCUCAGCAUGGCUUGAUGAGUGGUGCCAUGUCUGCACCCAGGAUCUGAAGUGGCAAAACCCUGGGCCACUGAAGCAGAGCGCAUGAACUUAAUCACUUGGCCAUGGGACCAGCCCCACAAAAGGAGAUCUUAUAGCAUUCUUUCUAAAAUGUUAGCCAUGAAUCAGUAAGAGAUAGCAAAAUAAUCUCACUAGUUUAUCUCCAGUUUAUAAUUUUAUUUAAAUUAUGUUUCUGGCAAAUGGGCAAGUAAGGUUAUAUGUUUACCCAUCUUUGUGGAGGUAACUGUUAAGAGAUUGUCUUUUGUCCUGACACAGAAUCUGAUGGAUGCCGUGGAGUAAAUAUUAGGCCAGUGACUGAGGAGACAUCUAGCUCUGUCUGGAUAACUCCAAAACCCAUCAGAGGAAAGGAAUUAUCCAUUUCUGUUUCCAAAUACGACUUUUUCUCUUUUCAGGCUUAGGUGGUGGAUUUGGGGGAUCUCUUAGUCUCUUUAGAGUCCCUAAUAGAGCAUUAGGGGGCCUAAAGUUCAAGUGACUGUAGUACCUGAGGUGCUGAGAUGGGAAGGGAUAGUCUGACUGGUGGACAGAGGGUUGGUGGAGGUAUAGGUUUGAAGGAAACCAUAUCAAAGGAUUAAGGGAACUGGAGGGAAUAUCCAAAUCACUAAAAUGAGGAAGGAGGAGCAGAGAUGAUGGAAAGCAAGAGAUUUUAGAAGAGUCAUUGGAGAGAUCAUAAGUUUCCCAAAGAGUCCAUUGAUGUUUUAAAUUAUCGUUAGUAAAAUCCUGAGAAGAAGAAAGGAAGUAGACAGAGUUGGCAGAGCAUACAGUCAGCAGGGAUUCAACAAAGGGGUUUCAUUCCACCAAGACUUCCAUAUUGUUAACAGGUGGUACUAUAGACCUAGCUACAGAGAAACUUGGGACUUUAACACAGCUUGUUCUCCAACAUGGUUAAAUAGAGAAAAAACUAAGACUCUAACCCUCUUCUGUUCAAUAUGGGCUAUAACUAAGCCAUACAGUAUACACCAAAUCUUAUGAAUCAAAAUCUGUUCCUACCAGCUUCAGGGGACAAUUGUCUGGACCAAUGAUUUAGGGGUUGGAUUCAUCAAAUUAUCCCUGAUCAGUCAGUCAGACGUGAAGACAAAGUCUUCAAAGAUGCACACUUAGAGUUCUGGGGGAGUGGUCCAGAACUCCAAUGAUGAAUUUAAUCUAUCCAAAUUGUCAUUGUAACUAUUAAAGAAAAACUACCACUUUAAAGAGGGAACACAGAUUUUAUUCAGGACUGUUGAAAUAAGGGGAAAAAAGAAUAUAGGAACAAGCUCAAUCGCCAAAAGAACUUUGGAAAAUGGAAAUUUAUCAUCAGGGAACCAGGUGGCAUAUAGUGGAUGAAAAUUAACUAUGAGGAAACAUCAUGGUUCAGGGGGAUUCUGGAAAAAUGACUUAACAGGGUUCUUGCUGAGGAUAGGCUAGAUUGAAAGGACAUCACCUGUGGAUGGUGGAGGAUGAGAAUCUUGAUUGAGUAUCAAGGGUGAUUAGACCUUGAGGAUUAGAGGCCAUUCUUAGACUGAUUUAACAGGGUUCGUGCAAGCAAUUUUGCAAGAAAGUAUUCAGAUGAUCUUAGAAGAAGCUUCAGGAAUUUGACUACAAUUUGGUGAAAGAAGGAAGCUGUGUCACUACCAAAGGAAAACUGGAAAACUUUACAAUAGAGGAUAUGUAGGAGAAGGAUAAACAUCACCGAAGGAUUUUAACUCCUUUUUUGGGGUAGAGGUUAGUGUGUUUUUGGCAGUAUGCAGCACACUUCUAUCAUGUUAAGUAGAAUUGUGACCUCAUUAUUAUCUUUAGUUAAAGAUGAAUAUGGUUUAAAGUGAUGUGUAUAGGUGGCAAGGUCAUAAGGGAUGGACCUGUGGUGGUUAAUUUUGUUUCAACUAGACUGAGUUAAGAAAUUUACAGAUAGUUGGUAAAGUUUUAUUUCUAAUUGUGUCUGUGAGGGUUUUCAGAAUGGAUUAGCAUUUGAUUAAGUAGACUGAGUAAAGAGAUUUGCUCUUACCACUGUGGUAGAGCAUCAUCCAGUUGGAAUAAAGGGCCACAAUACAACAAAAAGGGAAAGGAAGGGCAAAUUUCCUUUUUUUAAAAUUAAGAUUGGCAUCAGAGCUAACAGCUGUUGCCAAUAAUUUUUUUCUUCUUCUCCCCAAAGCCCCCAGUACCUAAUUGUAUAUUCUAGCAGUAUGUUCCUCUGGUUGUGCUACGUGGCCUGCACCUCAGCAUGGCCUGAUGAGCGGUGCUGUGUCCGUGCCCAGGGUCCAAACCAGAGAAACCCUGGGCUGUUGAAGCGGAGCACGAGAAAUUAACCACUCAGACAUGGGCUAGCCCCAGGAAGGGCAAAUUUCUUCUCCUUUCCUAGAGCAUGGAUGUCCAUCUUUUCCUGUGUUUAGACGUCAGAGUUCCUGGGUUUUGGGCCUUUGAGACUUAUACUAACUACCCCCUAGUUCUCAGGUCUUUGGCAUGAGACUAGUAGUUAUACGUUAGCUUGCCUGGUUCUCAGGCCAUUGGACUCAGACUUAAUUAUACCGCUGUCUUUUCUUGUUCUACAUUGAGAAGAUGGCAUUUUAUGAGACUUCUGUCCUCCGUAAUAUGUUUCUAUGAUAAAUGUUUUCUUAUAUAUACCUACAUAUCUAUCUAUUUAUUUUUUGUAAGUUCUGCUUUUCUAUUUAUACUGACUAAUAUAGAUUUUGGAAUGGAUAGUGGUUCUACAGAACAGAAUUCUAAAUAUAGGCUUUACGAAUUG
ensembl:lncRNA